rnacentral:lncRNA from 1 species
AAACCCCCCUAUUCUCUUCUCUUUUUCUCUCUCUCUCAUCACCUUAACCCUAGCCGCCCUUUAACCCCACCGUCUCCACCGUGGUCCGCCGACCGAAAAUCGCCUCAUGGUUGCGGACCACCUCCAAACUCCACCAAAUUAACACCCUAUAACCACCUUUCCCUCCCCUUUCCAAAUCCCCAAACCAUUUCCCUCAAAUAUUUCUCAAACACCUAGAAUUUUGGAUCUGAAAUCCAAACCCUAAUUUUUCCCUUUUCGAUUUCGUCAAUUUCUGGUUUUUUUGAACCCAAGACCUCCAUUAGUCGACUGUUCUUGUUGAGAACAGUCGUUUAAUGGUCGUCCAAGUUCAUUUUAUCCUGAUGAAGCCUGUCCGAGUUCUUGACUGGUCCAAAUUUGAGGCGAGUUCUGGUAAUUCCUUUGCCAUUCUUUUUUUUCUUUUCUCUCUUCUUUUGAUUAUCUCCUUCAUCUUCUUUCUUUCUUUUAGCCGCAUAGGUUUUCUCUUGUUCCUGACUAUUUAGCUUGUUUAUUUGCAUCUAUUUAGUAUGCUAGAAUUUCAGUAUUUGAAGUUUAAUUUCAAAUUGCAUAAAUUUAGUUUAAUUAGGGUUAACUUUUAGGUUUGAUAAAUAGCAUGAUUUUCCUAUUUCUUUCAUAUUUCUGUCUUAUGCUUAUUUAUUUUAUGCUCAGUAUGUAGUUUAAGUUAAUUAAAAUAAUUUUACUCAAGUUGAUUAACGAACUAUUUUUGGUUAGCUGUUAAAAAAAAUUAGUUGAUUAAAUUAUUUAACUUUCCAACUGAGUAGGUUAAUUUCUAGAGUUUCUUUGAAGUUUCAUUAUAAUUUUGGUUUGUUUACUUUUUAGAUGUGUUAGUUGUUUAAAUCUAGUUUUGUUUUAGGUUAAUUAUGUGAGUCUGUUUAAUUUAUUAAUUAGAUUUAGAUUUGUUUGGCUUAUACCCUGAAUGCCCUUAAGCUUAAGACUGAUUUUAGAAUUAAAAGAACAUUUGAAACAAUGUUUAGGAGGUUCCAUAAGGGUCUUUAAAAUCAGAAUUUGGGUCAGGACUGGUUAGGUUUGAAAUAUCUAGUAAAUGAAGGGUAAAAUUGGCUUUACAUAAAGCUAAAAAUCAGAAGGUUCUAGCACUUUGUCCAGCUACCCCAUUCUUAGCAAAAAAAAUGCUGAAAUUGGGUGGAAAAAAGGACAUACAGCUGUCAAAAUAUGUUGUACUGUUCUGACACUUUAGAAUUUAGGUUAGAAUAUUCCAUUUUGAUGUCAUCUUUGUGCACUCUAUAUAAUAAAAAAAAAGCAUUCACUCAUUCUCACAUGGAUUUUAUGAGCAUAACUGCACCUAAAAAUUUUCAUAAUACAAAGAAAAAUCCUUUAAAAAAUUCUGGAAAAAGCAUCAGCAUUCCUAGUUAGAUUUUUUGGUUGAUUUCUCAAAUACUUUGAUUCUUGAGAAGUUUGGGUGUUGUUUCUUGGUUUCUGGGUUGAUUCUUGACUGAUGUUGUUUGGGUUUUUUAUUGUGCUCCAUCUUUAAGUUUCAGCCAGCAUUUUAGUUUUUUUAUUGCUGGUUUUUCCGGUUCUUUCAAGGUACUGAUUUCAGCCUUCUUCAUGUACUGCUUGUUUAAGUAAUAUAAGACCAAAAACUGCAAAUUAUAUGUGAAAAUGAGUAUCUUUUCAUGUUAGUUGUAGCUUACAUUGAUAUGGAUCUGAUUAGGCUUUAUUAUGUGAGUUUAAGCUUGAAGUAAUCUGGUAUGAGUAGCCUGGUUAAUACAUUGAUGCUUUGUAGUUUUCCUCUUGAAAGUAACCUUGUUUGAAGAUGCUUCUUUGGCUAAAUGUUCUUCAUAUUAACCCUGAUUCUGAAUAUUAUUUAUUGAAGUCAUUCCUUCCCUUCUUAUUGUGUUGGUGAGUAAUAUGGUGUUUACUUGAGGUCAUUUGGGGUUUGUUUUUCUAACCAUGAGCUACAACCUAUGGAUUUGGCCACUAGUUGGCCAAAUCAACAGGUUCAAAAGCUAAGGGCUGAAAUUCUGUUGUUGAUAUCAUGCUGAAACUGGUGGUUUCAUGUGUUGGACCAAGCUUUGAUGGAUAAAUCAUGUCCAAAAGAGGCAGGUGUUCAUUAGGCUAUCAAUUACCUAGAAGUUGUAAUAGAAUAGUUUGAUAUUUUCUCUUUAAAGAUUAAAUUCUGGUAUAGUAGAUCAGUGUUGAUCUUAGCUUCAAUGUUCAAAAGUCACCCCACAUCAAUUAUGUUUUGUAAUGAGUGAUUUCACAAUAGUAAAAACUUUAUGAAUAGCCCAAACUUGUAUAUAAUUUCAAUUCAGCAUUCUAUCUCAUUCUAGUUCAUAUUUUCGGUCACCUGUGA